rnacentral:rRNA from 1 species
GAUGAACGCUAGCGGCAGGCUUAACACAUGCAAGUCGAGGGGUAUAGCACUUCGGUGCUAGAGACCGGCGCACGGGUGCGUAACGCGUAUGCAAUCUGCCUUUCACAGAGGGAUAGCCCAGAGAAAUUUGGAUUAAUACCUCAUAGUAUUAUGACUCGGCAUCGAGAUAUAAUUAAAGUCACAACGGUGAAAGAUGAGCAUGCGUCCC